rnacentral:rRNA from 7 species
GACUCUCGGCAAUGGAUAUCUCGGCUCUCGCAUCGAUGAAGAACGUAGCAAAAUGCGAUACCUGGUGUGAAUUGCAGAAUCCCGCGAACCAUCGAGUUUUUGAACGCAAGUUGCGCCCGAAGCCUUCUGGCGGUGGGCACGUCUGCCUGGGCGUCA